rnacentral:pre_miRNA from 1 species
AUUUAGGACAAUCAGUUUUUAAGGUGGGACAAAUUUCUCUAAAACAAAUGAAUCCUAGGUAGAUUUCCUUUCAAGUCAAGUGUCUUGC